rnacentral:rRNA from 1 species
AUGAACGCUAGCUACAGGCUUAACACAUGCAAGUCGAGGGGAAACGACAUCGAAAGCUUGCUUUUGAUGGGCGUCGACCGGCGCACGGGUGAGUAACGCGUAUCCAACCUGCCCACCACUUGGGGAUAACCUUGCGAAAGUAAGACUAAUACCCAAUGACGUCUCUAGAGGACAUCUGAAAGGGAUUAAAGAUUUAUCGGUGAUGGAUGGGGAUGCGUCUGAUUAGCUUGUUGGCGGGGUAACGGCCCACCAAGGCGACGAUCAGUAGGGGUUCUGAGAGGAAGGUCCCCCACAUUGGAACUGAGACACGGUCCAAACUCCUACGGGAGGCAGCAGUGAGGAAUAUUGGUCAAUGGGCGAGAGCCUGAACCAGCCAAGUAGCGUGCAGGAUGACGGCCCUAUGGGUUGUAAACUGCUUUUAUAAGGGAAUAAAGUGAGCCUCGUGAGGCUUUUUGCAUGUACCUUAUGAAUAAGGACCGGCUAAUUCCGUGCCAGCAGCCGCGGUAAUACGGAAGGUCCGGGCGUUAUCCGGAUUUAUUGGGUUUAAAGGGAGCGUAGGCCGGAGAUUAAGCGUGUUGUGAAAUGUAGACGCUCAACGUCUGCACUGCAGCGCGAACUGGUUUCCUUGAGUACGCACAAAGUGGGCGGAAUUCGUGGUGUAGCGGUGAAAUGCUUAGAUAUCACGAAGAACUCCGAUUGCGAAGGCAGCUCACUGGAGCGCAACUGACGCUGAAGCUCGAAAGUGCGGGUAUCGAACAGGAUUAGAUACCCUGGUAGUCCGCACGGUAAACGAUGGAUGCCCGCUGUUGGUCUGAAUAGGUCAGCGGCCAAGCGAAAGCAUUAAGCAUCCCACCUGGGGAGUACGCCGGCAACGGUGAAACUCAAAGGAAUUGACGGAAGGG